GCAUCAAUGGGGUAGUGGUAACCUGGGUCGUUGCCAUCGACCCGCCGGGGGUUCAAUUCCCCCUUGAUGCA
rnacentral:tRNA from 2 species